rnacentral:rRNA from 1 species
CACGUAGUUAGCCGGUGCUUAUUCUUACGGUACCGUCAUGGACCCUCUUUAUUAGAGAAAGUCUUUUCGUUCCGUACAAAAGUAGUUUACAACCCGAGGGCCUUCAUCCUACACGCGGCAUUGCUGGAUCAGGCUUUCGCCCAUUGUCCAAAAUUCCCCACUGCUGCCUCCCGUAGGAGUCUGGGCCGUGUCUCAGUCCCAGUGUGGCUGGUCGUCCUCUCAGACCAGCUACAGAUCGUCGGCUUGGUAAGCUUUUAUCCCACCAACUACCUAAUCUGCCAUCAGCCGCUCUAGUAGCGCAAGGCCCGAAGGUCCCCUGCUUUCAUCCUUAGAUCUCAUGCGGUAUUAGCUACUCUUUCGAGUAGUUAUCCCCCGAUACUAGGCACGUUCCGAUGUGUUACUCACCCGUUCGCCACUCGUCAGCGUCCGAAGACCUGUUACCGUUCGACUUGCAUGUGUAAAGCAUGCCGCCAGCGUUCAAUCUGAGCCAGGAUCAAACUC